rnacentral:rRNA from 1 species
UAAAAAAUUUUCUGGAAACAGCUGAACAUGAAAUACCGUACCCUAAACCGACACAGGUGGACUGGUAGAGAAUACCAAGGCGCUUG